GGGGGCGGAGUUUGCCUGCAAACCCGAUAAGACACCAUUUCUGGGAGCUCCUGAAUAUCUAUAAACCUGAAGCCCAUACAGCCCUACGAAGUGGCUAGAACGCAUCUACAGAGCCCGCCGUCAAUUAGAUGCCUUUCUUUCUUAAACAGACCAAACAGAAGUGAAGGUCUGGGGCCUACUUCUCUAUAACACCUCGAGACCUGGAGACGCUCAUAGGAGGCCAGGCCACUACAAGAGGGACCACAGAACCUCCACCUCAAACCCCUACUGUCUCCACCCACAUUCCUGCC